GUGCUGCUCACUUUGGCAGCACAUAUACUAAAGCUGGAGCAAUACAGAUGAGAUUAGCAUGCCCCCUGCUUAGGAUGACAUGCAAAUCUGUGACGCAUUCCAUAUUUUU
rnacentral:snRNA from 1 species